UACGUAGGGGGCGAGCGUUGUCCGAAGUUACUGGGCGUAAAGAGCGCGUAGGCGGGCUUCUAAGAUGAGAGGUGGAAAGGUUCGGGCUCAACCCGGAGAGUGCCUUUCAGUACUGGGAGCCUUGAGUGCGGGAGAGGCAAGUGGAAUGGUCGGUGUAGCGGAUGAAAUGCGUAGAUAUCGAUCGGAACACCCGGUGGCGAAGGCGGCUUGCUGGGCUCGCAACUGACGCUGAGGCGCGAAAGCGUGGGGAGCAAACAGG
rnacentral:rRNA from 1 species